rnacentral:lncRNA from 1 species
CUGGAGUAGGUUGCCAUUUCCUUCUCCAGAGGAUCUUCCUGACUUAGAGCUUGAACCCAGGUCUCCUGCAUUGCUGGCAGAUGAUUUACCGACUGAGCUAUGAGGGAAGCCCAAUCAUCAAUAGCAGUCUGAAGGCAACCUCCAGCAGGAACAAGCCGAUGCAAACUUCAGAAUGUUAAGUGGCCCUGAAUGAAUAAGAACUUGGGCUAAGAAGCCAAAGCUAUUCCUAUACUGCCUGUCCUUCCAAUACCACACUCUGGAAUGAUCCAUCUUUCAAAUUAUUAAGUAAAAGGCUGGCAGAGAGAAAAUUGUCCAGGCAACUUCUACUACUGCUGAGAUCUGAAAAUACAGUCCUAAAAAGAAAAAAAGUUCACUGCCCAUGUGGAGGUGUCUUUCUUCAGAGAGAAGCAGAUGGGUAAGUAAAUAAUUGAAUAAUAAUUAUAAAUAAUUGUAAAUUUUCAGUAAUUAAAAAAAACUAAAACAGGAGCUUUUGAUAGAGACUGGCAAAGUAAGGGAUAACUCCUCUAAGGUGAUUGUGGAAGACUCAUUCAGGAGGUCUCGUAUGAUCUUGG